GACGAACGCUGGCGGCGUGCUUAACACAUGCAAGUCGAACGAUGAAGCGGGUGCUUGCACUCGUGGAUUAGUGGCGAACGGGCGAGUAACACGUGAGUAACCUGUCCUUUUCUUUGGGAUAACGGCUGGAAACGGCGGCUAAUACUGGAUAUUCAGGCUGCAUCGCAUGGGGUGGUUUGGAAAGGUCUUUUUUGGGGUUGGGUGGGCUCGCGGCCUAUCGGCUUGUUGGUGGGGUGAUGGCUUACCAAGGCUUUGGCGAGUAGCCGGACUGAGAGGGUGCGCGGGCGCGCGGGCACGGACAUACGGCCUAGACUACGCCGCAGGGCAGCAGGGGGGGCAAUUGCGCGAAGGAUGACAGAUUGAUGCCGCGUCGGCGCUUGGAGGGUGUAGGCCUUCAGGUUGUGAUCUCCGUUUUCAACCGAUAUAGGCACAGUUGUGGCUGUGUUGAUGGUAGUGGGUGAAGAAGCGCCGGCUAACUACGUG
rnacentral:rRNA from 1 species